AUUUAUGGUCACUUCAUAUCUUUAAGCCACUAAAUGCGAUGUGUUUUAUUUUUUCUCUCGCAAAAUUAUCGUAUAAGAAGUAAACUUCUCUCUCCACGAUUCCUCUCCAAUUUCUCUCCGUCACAACGCCAUUCUCUCUAUCAACGAUUCUCAACUGAUUCAUCACCAUUGUCAAAAAAACCUGAAUUUUUGACAGCUCGUCUCUUUGAUUGAGAAUCUACUGUUGUCCGUCUCGUAGAUUCGUUUUUCGUUGACAAACAAGUUCCGACUCUUCAAAAUCACUAUCAGUUGGUGCAUGUACUUUUGGAUCUGACUUUGUUGUGAGUCUAUUCGAUUUCUUGCUCGCCAGUGAAGAUUCCGGCUUUGACGCCGGAGAAGUAGCACAUGGAAACGAUUUGGAUAUUGGUGGAUUGGGGACGGAAUUUGUGGCUGAGGAACUUAAAGAGUCUGUUAUCUUUUUUUUCAUUGUAUUUCAAUGUAUCUUGCUGUAUUUAAUUGUGUUCAAUGUUAUUAUAUAAUUUCAAAGCUUCAUUUUAUUUCAAUAUUUUGUCC
rnacentral:lncRNA from 1 species